rnacentral:tRNA from 1 species
GUUUUAAUAAUUUAACUUUAAAAUAAUGGUCUUGUAAACCAUAAAUAAGAAUUCUUCUUUUAAAACU